UCGCUCCUACCGAUCGAGUGACACGGUGAACCUUUUGGACUGUAACAGUCCUCGGAUUGUUAUAGGAAGACAAGUAAACCUUAUCAC
rnacentral:rRNA from 1 species